rnacentral:rRNA from 1 species
GACAGAGGGGGCAAGCGUUGCUCGGAAUUACUGGGCGUAAAGGGCGCGUAGGCGGAAUGGCAAGUCGGUCGUGAAAUCCUUCGGCUCAACCGAAGAACGUCGAUCGAAACUGCCGUUCUUGAGGAUUGCAGAGGAGACUGGAAUUCCCGGUGUAGCGGUGAAAUGUGUAGAGAUCGGGAGGAACACCGGUGGCGAAGGCGGGUCUCUGGGCAAUUCCUGACGCU